rnacentral:rRNA from 1 species
GACAGGUGGUGCAUGGUUGUCGUCAGCUCGUGUCGUGAGAUGUUGGGUUAAGUCCUGCAACGAGCGCAACCCUCGACCUUUAGUUGCCAGCAUUCAGUUGGGCACUCUAAGGUGACUGCCGGCUAAAGUCGAGGAAGGUGGGGAUGACGUCAAAUCAUCAUGCCCCUUAUGACCUGGGCUACACACGUGCUACAAUGGGCGGUACAAAGGGUCGCGAACCCGCGAGGGGGAGCCAAUCCCAAAAAGCCGCUCUCAGUUCGGAUUGCAGGCUGCAACUCGCCUGCAUGAAGCCGGAAUCGCUAGUAAUCGCGGAUCAGCAUGCCGCGGUGAAUACGUUCCCGGGCCUU